AAGGUUUCGGAGUCAAUCGCCUGAUUUAUUUUAGGAGGAAAGUCCGGACUUCAUAGGGUAAAAGAGGCAGCUAACGGCUGCUGGGAGAAAUCCUAAGGAAAGUGCCACAGAAAUAAACCGCUCGUAAUGAGUAAGGGUGAAAAGGCGGUGUAAGAGACCCCCGGUAAUUUAAGAAAUUAAGUUAGCCAAGGUAAACCCCUCUUGAAGCAAGAAUAAAUAGAAAGCAGUAUAGAAGCGACCCGUUUCUGCUUAUAGGGUAAUUCGCUGAAAUCGUGAAGUGAUUCACGGUUUAGAUAAAUGAUUGAUAAAAACAGAAUCCGGCUUAUCCCGAAACCUUUUUA
rnacentral:RNase_P_RNA from 1 species